rnacentral:rRNA from 1 species
GAUCAUGGCUCAGGAUGAACGCUGGCGGCGUGCCUAAUACAUGCAAGUAGAACGCUGAAGCUUGGUGCUUGCACCGAGCGGAUGAGUUGCGAACGGGUGAGUAACGCGUAGGUAACCUGCCUGGUAGCGGGGGAUAACUAUUGGAAACGAUAGCUAAUACCGCAUAACAGUCGACAUUGCAUGAUGUUGAUUUGAAAGGGGCAAUUGCUCCACUACCAGAUGGG